rnacentral:lncRNA from 1 species
UUUUUAAAUCUUUGCAAUUCAAAGGUUUCCAUAGGUUAAUUUUAAAGGCUGAAAUUAACAACAAUAAUCAUGCCUUUUUGAGCUUAUUUUCUUCUUCUGCAGCUAAAACAUAAAUCACCUUUUGCACAGAAAAGUUUUCUUAUUGAGCACAGGAUUACACCAGAAACUGGAGAUGAAUAAUCCAACCCAGACUCAGAAUAACAUAAAGUAACCCUAGCAGUUCCUUCAAUUUUCUCUAUAGAGGUUCUUGCACAGCUGUAUAGCACUGUGAUCUCGGAGGCUGUCUUUAAAGGGACCAAAGUUUCUCUAAUACCAAGAGAUCAACCCCCUUCUGAGCCCUCUGUCUCCAUUAUGAAGUCAGAAAAUGAGAGCAUUGCUGCUUGCCUGGUGAAAGAUUUCUACCCUAAGAAAUUGAAGAUAUUCAUGAAUUCUGACAGUCAAACUAUAUAUGAAGCAACAUCUAUCCUCACAUCUAGUGGGAAAUACAGUGCCGUCAAAGUUGCCAAGUUGUUCUCAAAUGAACCAGUAUCUUGCUCUGUUCAACAUAACAGCAAACUUAUUAAGAAAACCCAAACAGCUGAGAAGCUGCCAGAUUUCACAUCUCCUGCUCCUGAACCGUGCAACAUUUCAAACUCUACUCUCAAAGACAAGAAUGAGGAGAAAAGUGUGAAGACACUAUCCACGGCUCUGCUGGCUUUGGAAAUUGUGCUUGCAAAGAGCAUCAUCUUCAAUGUGCUCAUGAUUGCAAGAUUAGUCUUUGAGGAGUCCAGACAAGCAGUGAAUUUGUGGCAUCCGGUGGAGAAAUUAAAAAGCUUGGGGACUCUCUUCAGAUCUCCUGCAAAACCUCCGGAUUCAGCUUUGGUGACUAUGGCAUGAACUGGGUCAGACACGCUCCUGGGAUGGGACUGGAGCGGGUUGCCACGAUUAGCAAUGCCGGGGAUACAAUAUAUUAUUCUGAGUCUGUGAAAGGGCGAUUCACCAUCUCCAGAGAUAAUUCCAGGAGCCUGUUGUAUUUGCAUAUGACUAAGCUGAGACCUGAAGACUCUGCUGAGUAUUACUGCACGUGGGACACAGUGUGCAGAAGGCAGUGGGAGCUCAGACAAGAACCUUGACGUGUGGUUGUUGAGGGAGCAAAUUUCUGCUGGGGAAGCUGAAGCCCUCAAUGCUAGAAAAUCCUGACAGAAACUGGCAGAGUCAAUCCACUCUGUGUUAACCACAGCACAGGGUUACCUGUUCCAUCUACUUUCUUUCUCUGGAACUGAACACCAAGAAACUUUUUCUUUUCCCCUGGCACCAGCUCUUUCUUGUCCCCUUGAGUGCUGGAGUUCCCCCACACUCCUGUUCAACAACUCCCACCAAAGGGAGUGCUGUAUGAUGGGGCAGAAGGAAAUCUUGCAAGAUGUGGAGGGAUGUCUCUAACAUGGACUGGAGUUAAAGAGAAUAUAGGAGGUUUUAUGUUUUUCUUGAACAAGGCACAAGGAUUGGGUGUUUCUGACACACUGGAUGUGCCCGUCUAUCUAUCUGGGUUGUAUGCAGUGUUGUUGUAGGAUGUUGGACCCAGGAUAUUAGAGAGACAAGGUGGAUGAAUGCACAUCUUUUUUUCUUGAACAAGGCACAAGGAUUGGGUGUUUCUGACACACUGGAUGUGCCCGUCUAUCUAUCUGGGUUGUAUGCAGUGUUGUCGUAGGAUGUUGGUCCCAGGAUAUUAGAGGGACAAGGUGGAUGAAUGCACAUCUUUUAUUGGACCAAUUUCAGUUGGAAAAUGGGACAAGUUUUUGAGCUACAUGACCUGAGGAAGAGCUCUGUGUAGCUCAAACACUUCUCUCUCUCAACAACAGAAACUGGUCCAAUAAAAAUAUUACCUCCCCCACCUCUUCUGUUUGUCUACCUAGUGGUUACUGUAAUAUAAAUAAUAAAUACUAGUACCUGUGCUUUGGGCUGUUAAUAAAAACUAUACAGGACCAGACAGCAAUACCCUUAAUCAGGUUGAAUAGUUCCAUUGAAGGAAGGUGGCUACUUUUUGGAAAAAGUACUACCAAAUGUAAAAGGAUCACAAUGUGACCCACAGUAACGGACAGACCUUGUCCCAAGCAGUAUACGUCUUGAACAGACCAAAUAAAAUAAUAAAAAAUGAAAUAAAGAAAAGAAAAGGAAGAUGGGACCAGGAUGCAACAUAAGGCAAAGUAGUCAGCCCAUGUGAAAAUGAGCCCAGCUGUUGUUAUUUCCAUGAAUAUUAUUAUUUUUUCCCCUCAGUCAAGCAACAGCAAAUUGUGGUGUAUAAAAUGGUGGUUAUUCUGGGCUGGAGUUCAUCUGAUUUUUAUAAAAUGGAACGUACAAAAUACCUAAGUGAACUUCCUGUUUAAAACGAGCAAUUUGCCUGACUCUGCAGCUCUUGGAAAGAAAAUCUAGAUAAUCUGCAUCCCCCUAUGUCUGUGCAGUUAACAGCAAAUUCCUCAGAGAACUCUCCUCAGAAUCAGAAAUAUGCUAUUAUGGCUCCGGACUGCAUCCUUUCUAUUGGUUCUCAAAGGUGAUUUAAUUCCUAUGGACAUAGGAGAUGCCCAAGUAUUAUUAGAGAAGUCUUAAUGUCUCUUUUUUUUCUAUCUAGGGAGUCAGUCAAAAUUAGAAUGUGUGGCAUCUGGUGGAGAAGUUAAAAUGCUCAGGGACUCUCUCCGGAUUUCCUGCAAAACCUCUGGAUUCAGUUUUGGUGAUUAUGGGAUGAACCAGUACAGAAUCACGCCUGGAAUGAGCAUCAACCAUUAGCUAUUGGGCCAGAGAUACAAAAAAUUAUGCUGCUUCAGUGAAACGGGGGGAGGGAUAGUUCAGUGGUUUGAGCAUUGGCCUGCUAACCCAGGGUUGUUAAUUCAACCCUUGAGGGGGCCACUUAGGGAUCUGGGGCAAAAAUCAGUAAUUAGUCCUGCUAGUGAAGGCAGGGGCCUGGACUCGAUGACUUUUCAAGGUCCCUUCCAGUUCUAGGCAGUUGAUAUAUCUCCUAUCAUUAUUAUUAUUAACAGUCAAUUCACUGUCUCCAGGGACAAUCCCAACAUCCUGCUGCAUUUGCACUUGACUAAUGUUAGACCUGAGGAUGCUGCUGAGUAUUACUGCAUGUUGGACACAAUGUGCACAGGGCACUCGGAAUUCCGAUAAGAAUGGGUUUUACUGCAGAAGAUUUCUGCCAAGGAAGCUGAAGACCUAAACAGUAGCAAAUCCCAAAAGAAACCAGCUCAGACAAUCUGCUCAGCUUUAACAAUAGAAACAGUAUACCUGUUUCCAUCCACUUUCUUCCCUGACUCUGGGUCUUGGGAUUCCUUCCCCUAGUACCACCUUUCCCCAGCCCCCGUGUGCAGCCUUCAUUCCCCUGCUCCAUCCAAUCUAAGUCUCCAGGGGACAACAGAAACCAAGGCCUCUCACCACCUGGCCUUGUAGGGACUCCUAUCAAAGGAACUUAAUUGUGCUUCAAAAUGGGGGCUAAAGGAGGUCUUGGAAGAUGUGUGGGGAUGUGUCCACAUGGGAGAGGGGACAGAGAGAACACACCGUGUGUUAGUGGCUUUCUUAAACAAGAGGGCAAGGAUUGGGGGCUUUGCCAUAUUGGAUAUGACCUGUGCAGGCCUCUAUCUACCCAGUUUUCUAAUAUAAACAAUACAGAGUCUUACCUGUGCUUUGUUCAGUUAAAACAAACAAACAACAUAGAGGACCAGGACCAGAGCACUUCAGUCUCCCUGGACACUCAAUAACAGACCUAAAAGUGGCAAUUCCUCAACAAAAAAACUUCAAAAAGAGACUUCAACAUAAAGCUGCAGAACUGGAAUUAAUUUUUAAAUGGGACACCAUCAGAUUGGGCCUAAAUAAAGACUGGGAGUGGUUGGGUCAUUACAAAACCUAAACCUAAUUUCCCCAAUACUAAUUUUCCCCUACUGUUACUCACACUUUCUUGUCAACUGUCUGUAAUGGACCACUCUCUUACCUCUUCAAAAGUUAUUUUCUCUCCCUUAGUAUCCUGCUGUUAAUUGAUUUUUCUCAUUAGACUGACCUCACACGUGGUAAAGCAAACCUCAUCCUGUCAUGUAUUUAUACCUGCUCCUGUAUUUUUUGCUUCAUUCAUCCAGUGAAGUGGGUUCUAGCCCACACAAGCUUAUGCCCAAAUAAAUUUGUUAGUCUCUAAGGUGCCACAAGGACUCCUCAUUGUUUUUGGACUUGUGGUUGUUGGGGGGGGAGAUUCUGCUGUAGAAGCCAGAAAAUCAUGGUAGAAAAAAGCAGAGAAAUUCCAGUUUUCUUGAAGGAAAAGAAAGGAAAAAAUUAAAGAAACCCUGGGUCCAUCUGUGUAAGAGAAAGUUCAUUUGUAUUCACAUCUAUUCAGAGUUUGAG